rnacentral:rRNA from 1 species
CCUACGGGGGGCAGCAGUGAGGAAUAUUGGUCAAUGGGCGCGAGCCUGAACCAGCCAAGUAGCGUGAAGGAUGACUGCCCUACGGGUUGUAAACUUCUUUUAUAAAGGACUAAAGUGAGGCACGUGUGCCUUUUUGUAUGUACUUUAUGAAUAAGGAUCGGCUAACGCCGUGCCAGCAGCCGCGGUAAUACGGAGGAUCCGAGCUUUAUCCGGAUUUAUUGGGUUUAAAGGGAGCGUAGAUGGGUUGUUGAGUCAGUUGUGAAAGUUUGCGGCUUAACCGUAAAAUUGCAAUGGAUACUGGCGGUCUUGGGUGCAGUUGAGGUAGGCGGAAUUCGUGGUGUAGCGGUGGAAUGCGUAGAUAUCGCGAAGAACUCCGAUUGCGAAGGCAGGUUACUAAGCUGCCACUGACAUUGAUGCUCGAAAGUGUGGGUAUCAAACAGGAUUAGAUACCCCAGUAGUC